UACGUAGGGGGCGAGCGUUGUCCGGAUUUAUUGGGCGUAAAGGGUGCGUAGGCGGCUUUCUAAGUUGGAUGUGAAAACUCUGGGCUCAACCCAGAGACUGCAUCCAAAACUGGAGGGCUUGGGUUCUGGAGGGGAAAGCGGAAUUCCUGGUGUAGCGGUGAAAUGCGUAGAUAUCAGGAGGAACACCGGUGGCGAAGGCGGCUUUCUGGACAGAUACCGACGCUGAGGCACGAAAGCUAGGGGAGCAAACAGG
rnacentral:rRNA from 1 species